rnacentral:rRNA from 1 species
CCUACGGGUGGCAGCAGUGGGGAAUAUUGGACAAUGGGCGAAAGCCUGAUCCAGCCAUGCCGCGUGUGUGAAGAAGGCCUUCGGGUUGUAAAGCACUUUCAGUGGGGAAGAAAGCCUUGGGGCUAAUACCCUCGAGGAAGGACAUCACCCACAGAAGAAGCACCGGCUAACUCCGUGCCAGCAGCCGCGGUAAUACGGAGGGUGCGAGCGUUAAUCGGAAUUACUGGGCGUAAAGCGCGCGUAGGCGGUCUGAUAAGCCGGUUGUGAAAGCCCCGGGCUCAACCUGGGAACGGCAUCCGGAACUGUCAGGCUAGAGUGCAGGAGAGGAAGGUAGAAUUCCCGGUGUAGCGGUGAAAUGCGUGGAGAUCGGGAGGAAUACCAGUGGCGAAGGCGGCCUUCUGGACUGACACUGACGCUGAGGUGCGAAAGCGUGGGUAGCAAACAGGAUUAGAUACCCGGGUAGUC